rnacentral:rRNA from 1 species
AUUUUACUGUGAAUAAAAUCGAGUGUUUAAAGCAAGUCAUUGACCUUUGUCGAUUAUUAGCAUGGGAUAAUGGAAUAGGACCGUGAGGAUGAUGGGGGUAAUACUUUAUCAUUCACACGGUAAUGAUUAAAAGGGGUGGUUGGGGUGAUCAGUAUUUUAUGGGGAGGGGUGAAAUCCUUUGAUCCAUAAAAGACUAACUGAUGCGAAAGCGUUUCACAAGGACAUUUUCAUUAAUCAAGAACUAAAGUUAAGGGAGCGAAAAUGAUUAGAUACCAUUGUAGUCUUAACCAUAAACGAUGUCGGCCGAGGAUUGGGAGAAAGUGUGAUGUGCGGGGUCAAACCCGUGGUCACGCUUUUGACGAUUUAAAUCUCAUGGUGGCAACAUCAUGGGAUGUCAUGUCUCUCUCUGUACUCUGUUGGGAAACCAUUGAGCUUUUGGAUUCUGGGGGGAGUACGGUCGCAAGGCUGAAACUUAAAGGAAUUGACGGAAGGGCACCACCAGGAGUGGAGCUUGCGGUUCAAUUCGACUCAACGCGGGAAAACUUACCCGGUCAGAACACAAGAAUGAUUGACAGGUUGACAUUAUUAGUCCUUUCUUGAUUUUGUGGGUGGUGGUGCAUGGCCGUUUUUAGUUGGUGGAGUGAUUUGUCUGCUUAAUUGCGAUAACGAACGAGACCUUAACCUGCUAAAUAGCCAGGCUAGCUUUGGCUGGUCGCCGGCUUCUUAGAGGGACUAUCGG